GGAGGAGGCUGCAGCAGGUGGGGAGAGUGAAAAUGAGUGAGCCGAGCAGCCGGAUGGACCCAGAGAUCCUCAGAGGUGGCCCCACUGGGGACAAUGGGGUGAGAUAGAACCGAGGGAGAGAAGCAGACAGCCUUGCCCGUUCUUCCGUAGCAGUUCCAGACAGCCACGGCCACCUGGUCCUGGUCCUCGGGAGUACCGACACAACUGCCACCCUAAAGGGCACCAGGAACUCUACCUCCAUCAGCUCGCAGAUGGUCACCGUGGCAGCUGUCUCUAAGGAGGGUGUUCACUCCUCUUCCACAGAUGACAAAACUGAGACUCCAAGAAGCCAAGUGACUUGUGUAAGGACAAACGGUAACCAAGGCGCAGGGGAAGCAGCCAGCCUUUGCCAGUCUGACUCCAAAGUUCAAGUUCUAUGUACACCCCAGGUAGCUUGGCAAACCACCCACUUCUCGAACAGGAAGGCCUCAACCCUGCCGUUCACAAAGGAGGAAAAAGACAGUGUGUGCAGGCCCCCAGGCACAGGACAGACAAGAUUCGGUGCUAGAAUAUUCAAAGUGAUUUUGAAACCCAGCGCCUCUUAGUAAUAACAAUACCAGUUUCGGUCAUUUGCAUAACUUUCUACCGUUAACAAAAGGUAUCCCCAGCAGUUAAUUACAAUGACAAAGAAGGCACAAGGAGGCCGGGGCGGUGGUUCACGCCUGUAAUCCCAGCACUUUGGGAGGCCGAGGCAAGUGGAUCACCUGAGGUUAGGAGCUCAGCCUGGCCAACAUGGUGAAACCCCAUCUCUACUAAAAGUACAAAAAAUUAGCCGGGUGUGGUGGCACAUGCCUGUAAUCUCAGCUACUCGGGAGCUGAGGCAGGAGAAUCGCUGCAAUCCGGGAGGCGGAGGUUGCAGUGAGCUGAGAUCGCGCCACUGCACUCCAGCCUGGGCAACAAGAGCGAGACUCCGUCUCAAAAAACAAAACAAAACAAACAAACAAAAAAAGAAGGCAGAUGGGAGAGAGAAUGGUCUGUAGGAUCCCUCUGCAGACCCUGGGACGUUUCCUGUGCUCCCACUGGACAUGGCUGGGGUGGGUGGGUGGGUGCUGGGCAGAUCCUUCUGGGCCAACUUCCAGGAGCUUCUAGAUGAGGGUCCUGAAGUCACAGGCUCUGAGCGUGGGUCUGGGCAGCGCACAGAGGGCUUGGGUCCCAGUGGCCAGUUCCAGCUCUGCCUGCAGGACCCCAGUGUUGGCGAACAUGCCAUCGGUUACAGUUCCUGACACCACCUGCUGGACUGGAUUCCAGGCGGUGUAAACCAGUCUCUGCUCUCAGGGAGGGUCUGAAAGACGACGGAUCCUUUGAGGGAGGGAACUGGGAGCCCAGGCCCUCAAGAUGGGUUAGGAGUAAACUGGAGGGGAGGGGCUUGGGACACCUGCCGGGGGAGUCCAGGGUGGGGUAAGACGCUGGAGAAAAUAUGAUCAAAAUGAGACUUAUGUAAAUCAAAUCUCGUUUGGUUGCAGAUCUUUUACUGCUGUUUUGAUCUGCCAUUGGCAGAGACUGCUGACUACUUGGGCUUUUGAGUUUUUCUUCCCCUUUUUACGUGCCAUGUGGGGCAGGGGGCGGGAGGAGGUGGGGUGCCCUUUAGGCCACCAGGUUUUGUUUUUGUUUUUUGAGACAGAGUCUCGCUCUGUUGCCCAGGCUGGAGUGCAAUGGCGUGAUCUUGGCUCACUGCAACCUCCACUUCCCGGGUUCAAGCGAUUCUCUUGCCUCAGCCUCCUGAGUAGCUGGGACUACAGGUGCGUGCCACCAUGCCCGGCUAAUUUUUUUUGUGUGUGUGUGUUUUUAGUAGAGAUGGGGUUUCACCGUGUUAGCCAGGAUGGUCUCGAACUCCUGAUCUUGUGAUCCGCCCGCCUCGGCCUCCCAAAGUGCUGGGAUUACAGGCGUGAGCCACCGUGCCCAGCCAUUUUUCUUUUCUUUUCUUCCUUUUUCUUUUUCUUUCUUUUUUUUUUUUUUUUUGAGACAGGGUUUCACUCUGUCUCCCAGGCUGGAGUGCAGUGGCACGAUCUCACCUCACUGCAACCUCCACCUCCCGGGUUCAAGCGAUUCUCCUGCCUCAGCCUCUUGAGUAGCUGGGAUUACAGACACCUGCCACCACACCCAGCUAAUUUUUUAUUUUUAGUAGAGACGGGGUUUCACCAUAUUGGUCAGGAUGGUCUCGAACUUCUGACCUCAGGUCAUCUGCCACCUCGGCCUCCCAAGGUGUGCUUACAGGCAUGAGCCACCACACCCGGCCUUAGGCCAUCAGGGUUUAAGGAGUGCCAGGAAACUGUUAAAGGAACCUUGGGGGAUCUUUCAGAAAUAUUUAAAAAAAAGAUGAGGCUGUGGAUAUGCCUCCCCACCCCUACCCUCUAGUUUCUUCAUUGAAAAUUUUAGUUUUUUUUCCUUGCCCAAUUUUCUCUUGUGAGUGGCUCUCUCUAAAAUUGUAGUUCUGGAUGGGCAGGUGGCUCACCCUGUUUGCAGCAGUUUUGUUUAAUAGCUCUAAACUGGAAAUAGGAUAAUUGAUAAAUAAAUUGUAGUAUAUUUGCUAUGGUCUGAGUGUGUUCCCCAAAAUUCAUGAAUUGGAAACUUUUUUGUUUUUGUUUUUGAGAUGGAGUUUUACUCUUGUCAUCCAGGCUAGAGUGCAAUGGUGUGAUCUUGGCUCACUGCAACCUCUGCCUCCCGGGUUCAAGAGAUUCUCCUGUCUCAGCCUCCCAAGUAGCUGGGAUUAUAGGUGCCUGCCACCAUGCCUGGCUAAUUUUUGUAUUUUUAGUACAGACAGGGUUUCACCAUGUUGGCUAGGCUGGUCUUGAACUCCUGACCUCAUGUGAUCUGCCCACCUCGGCCUCCCAAAGUGUUGGGAUUACAGGCAUGAGCCACCACACCUGGUGAAUUGGAAACUUAAUCCUCAAUGCAACAGUGUUGGGAGGUAGGGCCUAGUGGGAGGUGUUUAGGUCAUGAGAGCUCUGCCCUCAUGAAUACAUAAAUGCUGCCAUUAAAAGGGCUCACAGAAGUGGGUUCUGUCCUUUCACUCUUCUGACAUGUGAGAACACAGCAUUUGUCCCUGCUUGACUUCUGCUUUCUGCCAUGUGAAGACACAGCAAGAAGGCCCACACCAGAUGCCACCACCUUAAUCUUGGACUUCCCAGCCUCCAGAACUAUGAGAAAUAAAUUUCUGUUUCUUAUAAAUUAUCCAGUCUCAGGCAUUCCACUGUAGUAGCACAAACGGACUAAGGCAGUAUUUGUAUCUAAAAGGCUAUCUAGAGCUGGGUGUGGU
rnacentral:lncRNA from 1 species